rnacentral:rRNA from 1 species
GACUACUGGGGUAUCUAAUCCCGUUCGCUCCCCUAGCUUUCGCUCCUCAGCGUCAGAAACGGUCCAGAAAGCCGCCUUCGCCACUGGUGUUCUUCCAGAUAUCUAUGCAUUUCACCGCUACACCUGGAAUUCCACUUUCCUCUCCCGUCCUCUAGCCAAGCAGUUUCGCACGCAGUUCCCAGGUUAAGCCUGGGGAUUUAACAUGCGACUUACAAGACCGCCUACGAGCUCUUUACGCCCAGUGAUUCCGGAUAACGCUUGCUCCCUACGUAUUACCGCGGCUGCUGGCACGUAGUUAGCCGGAGCUUCCUUAGAGGGUACCGUCAGCCGGCCCCAUUAUUCACAAGACCGGGUUUCUUCCCCUCCGACAGGGCUUUACGAUCCGAAGACCUUCAUCACCCACGCGGCGUCGCUCCGUCAGGCUUUCGCCCAUUGCGGAAAAUUCCUCACUGCAGCCACCCGUAGG